AGAUAGAGCUACUGGCUAAAAUGCUUUUUAUACGGCGCAUCUCCGAUGAAAUUUGUGGGAUUUGGAUACAACUCUGGAGUUUGACAAUUCCAUCAGCUGGGCCGAGGUUGAAUUUAGAAGGUUAGCCCACUUGCCCAAUAAGAACGAAAUCAACGAUACAACCCUGUGGCGAUGAUGGCGCGUAUUUCCUCUAGACCGUCAAAUUGCUGGACACUUCUUAAUUGACAUUUUAGUUUUUAUUUUCAUUAUCAUGUGUAGCAGCCACAAGAUCAAAAGAUUUAUGAUUAUAAACGUUUAAAUUAUAAAUUAAAACAAUUAAAAUGUGA